UUUUGCAUAAUGAGCCUGCGAGUUGUGGUGUCUGGCAAGGUUAAGCAAACGCGAAGCCGUAGCGAAAGCGAGUCUGAAUAGGGCGCUUAGUCAGAUGCUGCAGACCCGAAACGAAGUGAUCUAUCCAUGAGCAAGUUGAAGCUAGUGUAAGAACUAGUGGAGGACUGAACCCAUAGGCGUUGAAAAGCCCCGGGAUGACUUGUGGAUAGGGGUGAAAGGCCAAUCAAACUUCGUGAUAGCUGGUUCUCUCCGAAAUAUAUUUAGGUAUAGCGUUGUGUCGUAAUAUAAGGGGGUAGAGCACUGAAUGGGCUAGGGCAUACACCAAUGUACCAAACCCUAUCAAACUCCGAAUACCUUAUAUGUAAUCACAGCAGUCAGGCGGCGAGUGAUAAAAUCCGUCGUCAAGAGGGAAACAACCCAG
rnacentral:rRNA from 1 species